GGGCUGUGCCUAACACAUGCAAGUCGAGCGGCCGCACGAGGAGCUUGCGCCUUUGACGUUGGCGGGGGACGGGUGAGUGACACGUGGGCAACCUACCCCAUUGUUUGGGAGGCUCCGGGAGACCGGGGCUAAUACCGAAGAAUCUAUGUCACCUCAGGGUGACGGACUGAAAGACGGUUUGCGCUGUCGCUAGAGGAUGGGCCCGAGGCGCAAUAUCUAGUUGGUGAGGUAAUGGCUCACCAAGGCGACUAUCCGUAGCCAACCUGAGAGGGUGAUCGGCCACACUGGGACUGAGACACGGCCCAUACUCCUACGGGAGGCGGCAAAAAGGAAUCUUCGACAAUGGGCGAAAGCCUGAUGGAGCAACGGCGCGAGAAUGAACAAGGUUUUCGGAUCCUAUUAUUCUGUUGUAAAGGAAGAACUAGUACAGUACUAACUGGCUGUACCUUGACCGUACCUUAUUAAAAAGCCACGGUUAAGUACGUGCCCGCAGCCGCGGUAAUGCGUAAGUGGCUACCGUUGUCCGGAGUUAUUGGGCGUAGAGCGCGCGCACGCUGUCCUUUAAUUCUGAUGUGAAGGCCCACGGCUGAACCGUGGAGGGUCAUUGGAAACUGGAGGACGUGAGUGCAGAAAACGAAAGUGGAAUUCCAAGUGUAACGGUGAAAUGCGUAGAGAUUUGGAUGAACACCAGUGGCGAAUGCGACUUUCUGGUCUGUAACUGACGCUCAAGCGCGAAAGCGUGGGGAGCGAACAGGAUUAGAUACCCUGCGUCGUCCACACCGAAGACGAUGAGUGCUAAGUGUUAAGGUGUCUCCGCCCCCUCAGUGCUGCAGCUUACACAUUCAAGCCACUCCGGCCUGGGGGAGUACGGUCGCAAGACUGAAACUCAUUUGGAAGUGACCGCGCGACCCGCACAAGCAGUAUGGAGGCAUGUGGUUCUAAUUCGAGAACGACGCAUUACCUGUACUAUCUGACAUCACGUUGACGACUGUAAUGAUAUGAGCUUUCCUCGGGAGCACGCACAGUUUGCAUGCUGUCGUCACUCGAGAUCGUGAGUGAAUGGAGUCCGGACGCUGCAAUCCUUUGAUCCUACUUCAUCGUUCGACGAGGGAAGAACAGCCUGCC
rnacentral:rRNA from 1 species